GACGAACGCUGGCGGCGUGCUUAACACAUGCAAGUCGAACGAUGAAGCCUAGCUUGCUAGGUGGAUUAGUGGCGAACGGGUGAGUAAUACGUGAGUGACCUACCUUUGACUCUGGGAUAAGCCUGGGAAACUGGGUCUAAUACCGGAUACGACCAAUCUCUGCAUGGGGUGUUGGUGGAAAGCGUUAUGGAGUGGUUUUAGAUGGGCUCACGGCCUAUCAGCUUGUUGGUGAGGUAAUGGCUUACCAAGGCGACGACGGGUAGCCGGCCUGAGAGGGUGACCGGCCACACUGGGACUGAGACACGGCCCAGACUCCUACGGGAGGCAGCAGUGGGGAAUAUUGCACAAUGGGCGCAAGCCUGAUGCAGCGACGCCGCGUGAGGGAUGACGGCCUUCGGGUUGUAAACCUCUGUUAGCAUCGAAGAAGCGAAAGUGACGGUAGGUGCAGAGAAAGCGCCGGCUAACUACGUGCCAGCAGCCGCGGUAAUACGUAGGGCGCGAGCGUUGUCCGGAAUUAUUGGGCGUAAAGAGCUUGUAGGCGGUUGGUCGCGUCUGCUGUGAAGGCCGGGGCUUAACUCCGGUUUUGCAGUGGGUACGGGCUAACUAGAGUGCAGUAGGGGAGACUGGAAUUCCUGGUGUAGCGGUGGAAUGCACAGAUAUCAGGAGGAACACCGAUGGCGAAGGCAGGUCUCUGGGCUGUAACUGACGCUGAGAAGCGAAAGCAUGGGGAGCGAACAGGAUUAGAUACCCUGGUAGUCCAUGCCGUAAACGUUGGGCACUAGGUGUGGGGGACAUUCCACGUUUUCCGCGCCGUAGCUAACGCAUUAAGUGCCCCGCCUGGGGAGUACGGCCGCAAGGCUAAAACUCAAAGGAAUUGACGGGGGCCCGCACAAGCGGCGGAGCAUGCGGAUUAAUUCGAUGCAACGCGAAGAACCUUACCAAGGCUUGACAUGCAUUAGAUCGCGUCAGAGAUGGCGUUUCCCUUCGGGGCUGGUGUACAGGUGGUGCAUGGUUGUCGUCAGCUCGUGUCGUGAGAUGUUGGGUUAAGUCCCGCAACGAGCGCAACCCUCGUUCUAUGUUGCCAGCGGUUCGGCCGGGGACUCAUAGGAGACUGCCGGGGUUAACUCGGAGGAAGGUGGGGAUGACGUCAAAUCAUCAUGCCCCUUAUGUCUUGGGCUUCACGCAUGCUACAAUGGCCGGUACAGAGGGUUGCGAUACUGUGAGGUGGAGCUAAUCCCUUAAAGCCGGUCUCAGUUCGGAUUGGGGUCUGCAACUCGACCCCAUGAAGUCGGAGUCGCUAGUAAUCGCAGAUCAGCAACGCUGCGGUGAAUACGUUCCCGGGCCU
rnacentral:rRNA from 1 species